rnacentral:lncRNA from 1 species
CCUCAGCCUCCAAAGAUCUAACCGACUUUCUUCUCUGCGGCUACCUCAUUUUGGGGGCCGUUGUCCCAAAGAGAGGAGGAAAAUUGAUCGAGAGGGUAGAGAGGGAUGAGAGAUGGAUGGAAAUGAAGAGGAGAAGAGGGUUUUGGGUUGAUUGUAAUGGAUUUUGCAAUGUUAGGGCUUGAUAUUAUGAUGGAGAGCAAGAGGAUAUGCUA